AGCGGCGAGGAUGAUGAUUCAAUUAGAUGUGCGAAUGGUUUCAUUAUGAGCUUACAAACUUAAUUUGGCAAUUAUUAAUCUGACUUCGCCGUC
rnacentral:snoRNA from 14 species